rnacentral:rRNA from 1 species
CAGCCGCCGCGGUAAUACCGGCGGCCCGAGUGGCGGCCACUAUUAUUGGGCUUAAAGCGUCCGUAGCCGGGUUGGUUAGUCUCCCGGGAAAUCUGGCCGCUUAACGGUCAGAAUUCCGGGAGAUACUGCCAGCCUAGGGACCGGGAGAGGCCGAGGGUAUUCCCGGAGUAGGGGUGAAAUCCUAUAAUCCCGGGAGGACCACCUGUGGCGAAGGCGCUCGGCUGGAACGGGUCCGACGGUGAGGGACGAAGGCCAGGGGAGCAAACCGGAUUAGAUACCCGGGUAGUCCUGGCGGUAAGCGAUGCGGACUUUGUGUCGGACAAGCUAUGAGCUUGUCCGGUGCCGGAGGGAAACCGUUAAGUCCGCCGCCUGGGGAGUACGGCCGCAAGGCUGAAACUUAAAGGAAUUGGCGGG